AUGAGCGUACCAAUUGUACCUAAA
rnacentral:snRNA from 1 species